CACGUCAUUAUUAGCUAAUUACUUGUCAAUCCCCCUGAUUAGCAGCCGCUGCCAAAACACCUUUAAAAAGACCUGGAAGUACCGGUGAGUGACUGCGCUGGUAACUUUUGCUCUCCCCCCUCAUUGAGAUGGCUCCCUGUCUGUUGCGCUUCCUUGCAAUGUCCGUCCUCCACCGUUCCCGUUGAGGGUAUUCCUGCUCUUUGCCAGCUCAGUACGGAUCUUUGACUUCGCCGCCAUUGUCUCUGGAGCGGGUGCAUGUAGCCUGGUUGACUGGAGGGCCGGACUUCACGGGCGUUGCUGUUUUGUCUUACGAUUUGGUUUCCGUCUAGUGUUCAUCUCGUCUCCUUCGUCUCCUGUUUGUAUCUGUGA